UGUUCCUACGGGGGGCAGCAGUGAGGAAUAUUGGUCAAUGGACGCAAGUCUGAACCAGCCAUGCCGCGUGCAGGAAGACGGCUCUAUGAGUUGUAAACUGCUUUUGUACGAGGGUAAACGCAGAUACGUGUAUUUGUCUGAAAGUAUCGUACGAAUAAGGAUCGGCUAACUCCGUGCCAGCAGCCGCGGUAAUACGGAGGAUUCAAGCGUUAUCCGGAUUUAUUGGGUUUAAAGGGUGCGUAGGCGGUCGGAUAAGUUAGAGGUGAAAUGUCCGGGCUCAACUCGGGAACUGCCUCUAAUACUGU
rnacentral:rRNA from 1 species